rnacentral:lncRNA from 1 species
UGCAGGGGCAAAGGUGAGGAGGCCACCUGUUUUCUACUGCUCUCCACCUCAAUAUUUGAGAAUAGAUUUGUCCCUGAAGCUGUCCCUGUUUCGGUUACAUUUGCUGGCCAGGAGAAGAAUCCUCACUCCCUAACACAAGUUCAUUGAUGCAUUAGGCUCUCCUGAUAUCCAAACUCAUUUCUUACACAGAAAGUGAUUUACACACUCAACUGUCUCCUCAGCUUUACCCAACACAAUUACAGUGAAUGUUUUAUGCUACUUUAAUAAAAUAUAGUAUAUAGAGAAAUUUUAUUUAUAAAAUUGAAACUAUAGUCACACAAAUAUUGUAUUUAAAUAAAAACAAUUAAUCUGUAUAAAUACAUACCAGUACAGCCAUAUGAAUAUUUUUUCACCAUAAAAAUUAUAGAAUCACACUCCAAAGGACACGAAAAUAUUAUUAGCAUCUUUUUUGGGAGCUGGUGUUUUCAAACUUUACUAUAAGACAUGUUGCCUAGCAAAGGGGAUAAAUAUAGUUAUGAAGACACAAUGAUAAGGUAUUAGAAAUAAACACCAGGUCAGAAUAUAUAUUUUGAUAUUGAAAUUUUGAGCAGUUUGCUCUCAGGAGUUUAAUAUUGUGAAUGUCUGUAUAGGAGGGCAGGUGCCUGAAUUUAGAGCAGAAUAGCAGAUUAGCAUGUGCUUUGUCAGUUUUUCUAUUUUUCUUAAAAUAUUUUGAGGAUGUUUUUCACUUGCUCCUAACACCCUUUAUGGAAAUUAUUAAGAAGAGAAAAACUAUCCACAUACAUUUUCUUGUAGCCCAAAACUUUCUAGAGAAGAAAGCAAAGGUGACCCAUUUACUUUGCUCUUCCCAUGAUCUUACAUAGAAUAGUAUGAUAAUUCAAUGACAAUCACAGUUGACCCUGAAACACAUAUAGGUCAUGUUUAUCACCAGUUUCCGUGUGGUUAGGUGCAUGUGCUUAAAAGUAGAAUGCACAGUUCUCCUUUAUCUACACGUAUAGUUUGCUUGAUGGAAGCUGUAAAUGGUCAAUCAUAUAAAUGCAUUCCAAGGUUAGGAUUAGAAGGUGUCAAGCAGCUUUAGGAGCACAGCAAAGAUUAUGAGGUGUGUAUAAAGCAUAGGGUUUACUUGCAAAGUGCCUACUGCGCAAUUGCAAAGGUAUAAGUCUGCAUCACACAUUCUGCUGAGACAUGAGAGACUGCGUGGACUCUAAAUAGGGAAGGAUUUAAUAUGGGCUCUGAGUUUCCAAGUUUUAUUAAAGAUAUGGUGCUUACAUCUGUGUGUGAGAGGAUUAAUAUUCACAUCCUCUAAAAAAGCAAGAUGCUUCUUAGUGCCAGGAAUAAAACAAAAGGGUCUAAAACAAACUGACUCUAUGCCGUGAAAAUAUGCAUAACAUAAAGAAUUACCUCCCUCUCGAUUUUCAUUUGAAUGCCAAGCACUUGAGGGAAAGCUGUGCUAUCUAAGUAGUGAUUUUUUAAUAGUAGUAGUAGAAAUAACUAUAAGUAACAAAACAUUUACAUGUUUUUAAGAUUUUAUAUUAAAAUUCACUCAAUAAUUUUAUAAAGAAAACAAACUUGAAUAAUGCCAAAUAACAAAGUUAACAGUGUUUUCAAUAUUACUUUUGAAAGCAUAAUUGUAUUUUAAAGUAGCCUCCUUGUCUUCUGCCUUUCUUCAGACUAUUCUAGCUGGGUUCUCAAAUGUGUAUGGGUAGGAAACAGCAAGAUAAUGCGUCUUCAUCAUCUUCAGCUGUCUACUGGGGUUUCCAUUCUCUUUCUAUGCACUGUUGCAUAUUGAGAUCAAGACGAUAUUGCAUGCUACUUAAGCUCUCCAGCCUCGAUUCACAUCCACAGCCGCAUUUCUUGCAGCUGUUGUGCAUUGCAUAUUGAUUCACUGACUGGUUAUAAAAAGUUAGCAGUUACUAAGUGACAGAUGGUGUAUUAAGCCUCUGGAAAUUCAAAAAUAAUACUGAAGUGUUCCCUCUCUCAGGUCAAGUAUAAAUGGGAUUGGGAGGUCAUGUUGGGUGUCUCUGAAAUUUAUAUUACUAUGGCACUACUUUAACACAUUUCUUGGAGUAAUUAUAGUCGGGUACUGAUUUCAGCUUUUUUCCCCAAUUUUUGAUAGCCAUUGUUGUACUCAAAAAUAUCUUCUUCUUUUUUUUUUAUCAUAGUUGAAAACUUUUUGCUGUUGUUGUUGGUUUUUUGGCUAAGCACUGCUUAUAUAUUUAAAUGUAAAAUAUCUUUACUUUGUAACAGGACUAUCAAAAUUGUAAAAGUAAGAUAAAUAGACCCAAAGCUAAGCAAAGAAAGCCAAUAAUGUACCUCUUUUUCUCAUUCAUUUUCCAGACUCAAUAAUUUCCUUUGACGUUUGCAUUUUCACAUUUGGCUAACAUGAAGAUGUUAAAGUUUUCAUGUGCACAAUUCAGAUAGGGGGAUAUAUUAACGGGGCACUGAGCACAGUCUUCUGCAUUUGACAAUUCAGCCAAGAGAGGUUUGUUGGUGUGGUUGAACUUCUUCUGCUUUUACCCAUAAAGUCAGCAGUCCUUCUGUUCUUGCCCCAAACAUUGUUGCUAGUGAGAAGAAAACCAGAAUUCUAACCCCCAAACUUCACCUGAUUCUGGCUAAACACUGAACACAAGCUCCCUAAAACCUACCUCUGUUUUCUUCCAGACAAUGUUUACAUUUGGGCAGCAAAAUCUAAUGUGAUAGGUUGAUUUUUCUAACAUUUAGCAGUUUACACAUUUGGAGCUUUAUUCAGUUAGAAUUAAUGCAAUUAAUUAUGUCAAAGUUUAAUUUUGAAUGUUUAUGCCCACAUUUCCUCAGAGAAUUUUAAUAUUCUCAAAGCAAAUGUCAAUGUGCUGGUGUGUCAAUAUGACUGGCAACAUUUGCAUUUUUAAGUUACAGACUAAGAAUACUCUACUAGAAUUUGCUUUUCCUAUC